CGAGUCUGAAUAGGGCGCCUUAGUAUCAUGACGUAGACCCGAAACCAUGUGACCUACCCAUGAGCAGGUUGAAGGUGCGGUAAGACGCACUGGAGGACCGAACCAGGGCACGUUGAAAAGUGCUUGGAUGACUUGUGGGUAGCGGAGAAAUUCCAAACGAACUUGGAGAUAGCUGGUUCUCUCCGAAAUAGCUUUAGGGCUAGCGUCGACAUUAGAGAUUCUUGGAGGUAGAGCACUGUUUGGGUGAGGGGUCCAUCCCGGAUUACCAAUCUCAGAUAAACUCCGAAUGCCAAUGAAUUAUGGUCGGCAGUCAGACUGCGAGUGCUAAGAUCCGUAGUCGAAAGGGAAACAGCCCAGACCACCAGCUAAGGUCCCAAAAUAAUUGUUAAGUGGAAAAGGAUGUGGGGUUGCACAGACAACUAGGAUGUUAGCUUAGAAGCAGCUAUUCAUUCAAAGAGUGCGUAAUAGCUCACUAGUCGAGUGACCCUGCGCCGAAAAUGUACCGGGGCUAAAACAAUUUACCGAAGCUGUGGAUACCUUUAUAGGUAUGGUAGGAGAGCGUUCUAUGUGUGAUGAAGGUAUACCGUGAGGAGUGCUGGAACGCAUAGAAGUGAGAAUGCCGGUAUGAGUAGCGAAAGACAGGUGAGAAUCCUGUCCACCGUAAGACUAAGGUUUCCAGGGGAAGGCUCGUCCGCCCUGGGUUAGUCGGGACCUAAGGAGAGACCGAAAGGUGUAUCCGAUGGACAACAGGUUGAUAUUCCUGUACUAGAGUAUGUAGUGAUGGAGGGACGCAGUAGGCUAACUAAAGCAGACGAUUGGAAGAGUCUGUCUAAGCAGUGAGGUGUGAAUUGAGUCAAAUGCUUAAUUCUAUAACAUUGAGCUGUGAUGGGGAGCGAAGUUUAGUAGCGAAGUUAGUGACGUCACACUGCCAAGAAAAGCUUCUAGCGUUUAAACAUACUCUACCCGUACCGCAAACCGACACAGGUAGUCGANGCUAACUACGUGCCAGCAGCCGCGGUAAUACGUAGGUCCCGAGCGUUGUCCGGAUUUAUUGGGCGUAAAGCGAGCGCAGGCGGUUAGAUAAGUCUGAAGUUAAAGGCUGUGGCUUAACCAUAGUAGGCUUUGGAAACUGUUUAACUUGAGUGCAAGAGGGGAGAGUGGAAUUCCAUGUGUAGCGGUGAAAUGCGUAGAUAUAUGGAGGAACACCGGUGGCGAAAGCGGCUCUCUGGCUUGUAACUGACGCUGAGGCUCGAAAGCGUGGGGAGCAAACAGGAUUAGAUACCCUGGUAGUCCACGCUGUAAACGAUGAGUGCUAGGUGUUAGACCCUUUCCGGGGUUUAGUGCCGUAGCUAACGCAUUAAGCACUCCGCCUGGGGAGUACGACCGCAAGGUUGAAACUCAAAGGAAUUGACGGGGGCCCGCACAAGCGGUGGAGCAUGUGGUUUAAUUCGAAGCAACGCGAAGAACCUUACCAGGUCUUGACAUCCCUCUGACCGCUCUAGAGAUAGAGCUUUCCUUCGGGACAGAGGUGACAGGUGGUGCAUGGUUGUCGUCAGCUCGUGUCGUGAGAUGUUGGGUUAAGUCCCGCAACGAGCGCAACCCCUAUUGUUAGUUGCCAUCAUUUAGUUGGGCACUCUAGCGAGACUGCCGGUAAUAAACCGGAGGAAGGUGGGGAUGACGUCAAAUCAUCAUGCCCCUUAUGACCUGGGCUACACACGUGCUACAAUGGCUGGUACAACGAGUCGCAAGCCGGUGACGGCAAGCUAAUCUCUUAAAGCCAGUCUCAGUUCGGAUUGUAGGCUGCAACUCGCCUACAUGAAGUCGGAAUCGCUAGUAAUCGCGGAUCAGCACGCCGCGGUGAAUACGUUCCCGGGCCUUGUACACACCGCCCGUCACACCACGAGAGUUUGUAACACCCGAAGUCGGUGGGGUAACCUUUUUGGAGCCAGCCGCCUAAGGUGGGACAGAUGAUUGGGGUGAAGUCGUAACAAGGUAGCCGUAUCGGAAGGUGCGGCUGGAUCACCU
rnacentral:rRNA from 1 species